AUUGAACGCUGGCGGCAUGCUUUACACAUGCAAGUCGAACGGUAACAGGCCGCAAGGUGCUGACGAGUGGCGAACGGGUGAGUAAUGCAUCGGAACGUGCCCAGUCGUGGGGGAUAACUACUCGAAAGAGUGGCUAAUACCGCAUACGAUCUAUGGAUGAAAGCGGGGGACCGUAAGGCCUCGCGCGAUUGGAGCGGCCGAUGUCUGAUUAGGUAGUUGGUGGGGUAAAGGCUCACCAAGCCAACGAUCUGUAGCUGGUCUGAGAGGACGACCAGCCACACUGGGACUGAGACACGGCCCAGACUCCUACGGGAGGCAGCAGUGGGGAAUUUUGGACAAUGGGCGCAAGCCUGAUCCAGCAAUGCCGCGUGCAGGAAGAAGGCCUUCGGGUUGUAAACUGCUUUUGUACGGAACGAAACGGCUCUGGUUAAUACCCGGGGCUAAUGACGGUACCGUAAGAAUAAGCACCGGCUAACUACGUG
rnacentral:rRNA from 1 species